GAUGAACGCUGGCGGCGUGCUUAACACAUGCAAGUCGAGCGAGAAGUUUUGAAAAGAUUCUUCGGAUGAAAUUUAAAAUGGAAAGCGGCGGACGGGUGAGUAACGCGUAGGCAACCUGCCCCAUACAAAGGGAUAGCAUUUGGAAACGAAUAUUAAUACCUUAUGAAACUUAACUAGUGCAUGCUAGGUAGGUCAAAGAUUUAUCGGUAUGGGAUGGGCCUGCGUCUGAUUAGCUAGUUGGUGAGGUAACGGCUCACCAAGGCGACGAUCAGUAGCCGACCUGAGAGGGUGAACGGCCACAUUGGAACUGAGACACGGUCCAAACUCCUACGGGAGGCAGCAGUGGGGAAUAUUGCACAGUGGGGGAAACCCUGAUGCAGCAACGCCGCGUGAACGAUGAAGGCCUUUGGGUCGUAAAGUUCUGUUCUAGGUGAUGAAAACUGACAGUAACCUAGGAGAAAGCCCCGGCUAACUCCGUG
rnacentral:rRNA from 1 species